rnacentral:lncRNA from 1 species
CUGCCUCAAAUACAGGGAAUUCAAAAUUGGGAGAUGGCGUUGGAUCAUUAUGUUCAAUGGGUUUUAGGAUCAAUCUGCAUAAUGAUUUUGGUUAAGGAAAAAACUUCAGCAUUUAAACAAGCAAACCAUUAUGCAGAUGAAAAAUGUUAGCUUUUUUUUUUGUUUUUAUGGUUUUUUGUGAUCACUGAUUUCAUAAAGAAAAGCAAAAAGUGAAAACAAAGGAAAAACAAAUGUUUUGACAAUGCAAAAAUUGAAUGAAAA